rnacentral:rRNA from 1 species
GACGAACGCUGGCGGCGUGCCUAACACAUGCAAGUCGAACGGAGUUACCCUUCGGGGUAACUUAGUGGCGAACGGGUGAGUAACGCGUGAGAAACCUGCCUUUCAGUGGGGGACAACAGUUGGAAACGACUGCUAAUACCGCAUAAUGUUAUUUGGGGGCAUCCCUGAAUAACCAAAGAUUUAUUGCUGAAAGAUGGUCUCGCGUCUGAUUAGCUAGUUGGUAGGGUAACGGCCUACCAAGGCGACGAUCAGUAGCCGGUCUGAGAGGAUGAACGGCCACAUUGGGACUGAGAUACGGCCCAGACUCAUACGGGAGGCAGCAGUGGGGAAUAUUGGGCAAUGGGGGAAACCCUGACCCAGCAACGCCGCGCGAAGGAAGAAGGCCUUCGGGUUGUAAACUUCUUUUACCAGGGACGAAGAACGUGACGGUACCUGGAGAAAAAGCAACGGUUAACUACGUGCCAGCCGCCGCCGUAAAAC